rnacentral:lncRNA from 1 species
AAGGAAAGGCUUGUUAGGGAAGUCACAUCUCAGCUGAGAUUUGAAAGGUAAGUUGGAGGAAGCCUAGUGAAGAAAGCUGAAGGAGGAAUGUAGAGCGUUCAGGAUAAAGCAGCAGCCCGUGGUAAGCUUAGAAUCAUCAUCCACCACGACAAGAUGCAAGAUAGGUAAUCAAUUCAGUACAUCAGAAUCACUGGCUAUGAAGAGAAGAUUCAAGCAGAGACCUGCAGGAUCAAACACUAGCUGAAUUGCUGGGGUUGCAAAGAGGAAUAAAACCGUCACCUGCUUGGAGGACGUCAAAAUCUACAAAGAAGAGGAGUUUUGAAGUUUUGUGACUGGGACUGGCUUUCCUGUUCUUCAGCUUGCAGAAGGCCUGUUGUGAGACUUCGCCUUGUGAUCGUAUUCAUCUCAUGCCAAGCCUCUACGCCAAUCCAUCCUGAAUUAGAUGCUGUGCUCUUAUAUGCCGCUGUGCAUUUGGUGAAGCAAGGCAGGGAGUGGUGACUCAUGCCUGUAAUUCCAGAGCUUUGGGAGGCUGAGGAAGAAGAGUCUCUUCAGGCCAGAGGUUCAAGACCAGCCUGGGCAACAUAGCAAGACUUCCUCUCUACAAGAAACAAAAAAGUAGCUAGGCAUGAUGGCACACACCUGUAGUCCUAGCUGCUCAGGAGACUGGAGGAGGAGGAUCAUUGAACUCAGGAGUUUGAAGCAGCAGUGAGCUAUCAUCACUCCACUGCACCCCAGCCUGGGUGACAGGGUGAGACCCUGUCUUUAAAAAAAAUUAAUAAUUUUAAUAAUAAAUAAGUAAAUAAAUGAGUGAAGCAGUAAAAAGCUAUAUUUCUAUAGGCCAGUUUGAUGACUAGUGAGUUUCACUGUAAGGUUACUGGGAGUUGUUGGAUGACUCUCUAAUGUCCAUGUCUAUAGGUUUUUAUUCUUGGGAGAUUAUGUUUCCCCAAAAAGGAACUCUAAUUAUCUUGCCUGGAAGGUAAAAGCCUUGAUACCAGGAUUCUGGAAGCA